rnacentral:rRNA from 1 species
GUGCCAGCAGCCGCGGUAAGACGAACCGUGCGAACGUUGUUCGGAAUCACUGGGCUUAAAGGGCGCGUAGGCGGGCACUCAAGUCGGUGGUGAAAGCCUCCAGCCUAACUGGAGAAGAGCUGUCGAUACUGGGUGCCUCGAGUGGUGCAGGGGUCUGCGGAACUUCGGGUGGAGCGGUGAAAUGCGUAGAGAUCCGAAGGAACGCCGGUGGCGAAAGCGGCGGACUGGGCACCUUCUGACGCUGAGGCGCGAAAGCCAGGGGAGCAAACGGGAUUAGAUACCCCAGUAGUCC